rnacentral:tRNA from 1 species
GGUAGAGCACCGGUCUCCAAAACCGGGGGUUGUAGGUUCGAGUCCUAUCGCCCCUGCCA